UCCAACCAAACCAGGUUUUUAUUGUAUACCUGCCACAUUCAACUACAAAGACCAGAACCGGUCCAGAACGGCAAAGCUCAGGGCUACCACCCAUACAGAUGAGACCUUCAUUCUUAAGAUGGAAAACUCUUGGAGACAGCUAGUAGAAGGCAGAUGUCUGAUCCAGUCGCAUAUGG